AUUACCUGUUAAAUACUUUUGAAAGAGAUGUGUCCAACUGAGAAAACAGAUGAUUGUUUACCAUGGAAUCUUCACAAUCAUAGAACAUCACUUCAUUGUAAGUAAGAGAGCCAGCCGUUAUAGAGGCAGACACACCUGAGCAGUGAGAGUGACACCACCCAACUCCAUCAAGCCCCCGUAGCUUUGAACUGUGUCUAUGAGCAUCUGUGCAUCCAUGAGCAAGCCGUGUCCUAAGGUUGAAGAGGGUAUGGAAGUUGCCUGCAGUCACAGAGCCAGGAAGGGACUGAUCCAGCAAUGGAAGCCAAAUUGUCUGCUCCC